UGACCUCGGAGCAGGUAGGACUACCCGCUGAACUUAAGCAUAUCAAUA
rnacentral:rRNA from 1 species